rnacentral:rRNA from 1 species
UACGGGGGGAGCAAGCGUUGUUCGGAUUUACUGGGCGUAAAGGGCGCGUAGGCGGUCAGCACAAGUCAGUUGUGAAAUCUCCGGGCUUAACUCGGAAAGGUCAACUGAUACUGUGCGACUAGAGUGCGGAAGGGGCAACUGGAAUUCUCGGUGUAGCGGUGAAAUGCGUAGAUAUCCUGAGGAACACCGGUGGCGAAAGCGGCGCGCUGGAUCCCUUCUGACGCUGAGGCGCGAAAGCCAGGGGAGCAAACGGG